rnacentral:lncRNA from 1 species
GGGUGGGUAGGGGAGUAGGGCAGAGGGAGGGUAUAGGGAACUUUCGGGAUAGCAUUUGAAAUGUAUAUAAAGAAAAUAUCUAAUAAAAAAUAAAUUAAAAAGAAAAGAAAUAGCAGUUGUUACAGAAUCUGGAGCCUGAGGAACCAUGGUGACAACAUGAGGACAAUGCCCAACAGUGAGACCUAGGGAAAGAAGCUUCGUGCUCAGAGAGCAUCUCAGGAGGAGAGGGGAAGCCAAGAUGGAGGCGAACACACACGAAGAAGAAGAACCUGAACCAACAUGGACUUAAAUAGCCACAGGUAGUUAUGUUAUCAUGAAGGCUAGAAUAAUUGGGAUAAUUUGUCUAAUCUAGGUGGGCAGGCUUUAUCAUUAUCAAUUGGUUCUGAAAUGAUUGUAUUAGCAUCUUGUGAAGU